AUUAUGGAACUCUCAUUUUGAUAAAAUUUAAAAUUACUUGAGACAAAUAAAGCAUGUUAUGCAUUCAAAAGUUUUUGUUUUUAAAAUUCUAUUGUAACUUUUUCAAUAAUGAGUUUUAUCAAGACAAAAUAAUAUGAUUAUGCAUGUGAUUAGUUGAUGAAUGACUUUUAAUUAAAUUUUUUCGGUAAUAUUUUAUUAUUAGAUUUCAUAUAUUGACCCCCGAAAAGAAAAUUUCUAGACCCGCCACUGACUACUCUAACAGAUAAAAUAAUAAUGGAGGCUAAUGAUAAGUUAGAACUAUAGUUGAAGAACAAUUUGAAGCUCAAAGAUUUUAUGCUGAGUAGGACUAUAAUGAAUUCAAUGAUGUAACUAAUAUUAGCCAAUGGCUGAGAAAUAUUGGUAUCUCAGAAAAUUUAUCCCCAAAGAAGAUGAUAUUGAAGAAAAUAUUAUCAUAGAACUAUAGAAGCACAUCAGAUAAAAUGAAAUAGAAGAAUUUAAAGAAUGAUAACUGAUGGAGUGAAAUAAAAGAAUUUUUCUGGUAUGUUGCAUGAUUGCAGAAAAAGUAUUAGGCUAAAGGGGAAAUUCCAUGGGACAAAAAUAUGGCCAUGACUGCUUUGAGACAACAAAUGCUGAGAUGAAUAUGCAAUAACAUAAAAUGGCAGAAUGCAAAAGCAACACAUUUGAGAAAGGUGGAAGAAGCACCAAUUGAAAAAAGGAAAAAUGGUGAAUAAUGAAAGAUGGUUUGAGCUGUUAAGCCACAUGCAAGAUGUACCUUUAUGUUAUAAGGGAAAGUAUUUGAAUUUAGGUUGAAAAGAUCAAAGUGGUAAGACAUAGAAAUGGACCUUUAUGUUUGAGCAGAAGCAACUACAUUUAAACUGAAAAGACCAAAAAUGGUAAGAAAUUGACUCUUGAAGUUAUGUAAGUUUUGAUAUCCAAACAUCUUAUGAAAAAUAUGGUGCUAGGAUUAAAAUUUAGUUGAAUUGAGCAGCAUUCAUAGCAGACUUUGAAGUAAUUGUGAAACAACAAAGUUUUACUAGUUCAUAUUAAACUACUAAACCAAUGGACUAAUGCAGAAUUUAAUUUUUUUUUUUUUUAAAGUUGAGUAUCAAUUGGAACAUUCGCAUAAUGCUGCUGCAACAAACUUCUCCUAUAAUCAAAAUUGUUGGUUCCGAUUGCAGCUUCUUCAACAAUUCUCCACAAUCAACACCAAAAUAUCUCAGUUUUCUCAUGGACAAAGAGAAGCCUCUACCUGUUCUUUCUUCUUCUUUGUUGCUGAAGCAUCCAGUCUUCCAUUGCCAAGCUUCGCAUGAAUCCCAUAAGACUUCUCUCAGGAAUGAAGAAAUACCUGUCCAUGGAUUAUCUAAAACGAUUGUAGGUGUUUUAGGGGGCGGGCAAUUGGGUCGAAUGCUGUGUCAAGCAGCUUCCCAGAUGGCCAUUAAAAUAAUGGUUUUGGAUCCCCUUGUGAAUUGCCCUGCUAGUUCCCUCGCUUAUCAUCACAUGGUUGGGAGCUUUGAUGAUAGUGCUACGGUUCAGGAAUUUGCCAAAAGAUGUGGAGUAUUAACCGUUGAGAUUGAACAUGUUGAUGCUGCUACGCUAGAGAAGCUUGAGCAGCAAGGAGUUGAUUGCCAACCGAAAGCCUCUACUAUUCGAAUUAUCCAAGAUAAAUAUCUCCAAAAGGUUCAUUUUUCUCGGCAUGGAAUUCCACUACCUGAGUUUAUGCAGGUGGGAAAUGAUAAAGUUGUUCAUGAGUAUAUCUCUGAAGGACAUUACGUGAUUGCAUUUUUGUGGUCUAUUAGUUGAAAAUAUUUUUAUUCACUGGUAAUGAAAAUGACAGAUAGAUGAUCUAGAAGGUGCCAAAAGGGCAGGUGAAUUGUUUGGCUAUCCUCUUAUGAUUAAAAGUAAGAGGUUAGCUUAUGAUGGGCGUGGAAAUGAAGUUGCUAAGAGUGAAGAAGACAUUUCUUCUGCUGUAACUGCUCUUGGAGGUUUUGAUCGUGGUCUAUAUGUUGAGAAAUGGGCACCCUUUGUAAAGGAACUAGCUGUCAUUGUGGCAAGAGGAAGAGACAACACCAUCUUGUGUUAUCCUGUUGUUGAAACUAUUCACAAGGAAAACAUAUGUCACAUAGUCAAGGCACCUGCCGAUGUGCCAUGGAAGAUCAGGAAACUUGCCGCUGAUGUUUCUUAUAAAGCUGUUAGUUCACUAGAAGGUGCUGGUGUGUUUGCAGUUGAGUUGUUUUUGACAAGUGACGGUCAGAUUCUACUGAAUGAAGUAGCUCCUAGACCUCAUAAUAGUGGUCAUCACACAAUUGAGUCCUGCUACACCUCACAAUUUGAACAGCAUCUGCGAGCUGUUGUGGGUCUUCCACUAGGUGAUCCAUCAAUGAAGACUCCAGCAGCUAUAAUGUACAAUUUAUUGGGUGAAGAUGAGGGAGAGCCUGGUUUCCACUUGGCUCAUCAGCUUAUUGGAAGGGCAUUAAAUGUACAAGGGGCUACUGUUCAUUGGUAUGAUAAGCCAGAAAUGCGAAGGCAAAGAAAGAUGGGGCAUAUCACUAUUGUUGGUCCUUCUAUGGGCAUUGUGGAAGCACGGCUAAAUUCAAUGUUCAAAGAAGGAGGUUCUGAUAGUCAAUCUGCAGUUACACCACGGGUUGGGAUCCUUAUGGGCUCUGAUUCAGAUCUUCCUGUAAUGAAGGAUGCUGCAAGGAUUUUGAAUAUGUUUGGUGUGCCUUAUGAGGUUUAGCUAUUUAAUACUACCUCCAUUCAUUUUGAUCCAUGGCAUUUGGGUUUUGCACGGUGAUUAAGGAAAUAAUUGGAUAACUUUAUUUUUCUAGAAACAUUCUAGUAAUUGACUACAUUACCCUUUAUUUCACCUAGAAAAUAGUAUAAAUAUUUAUUGUAUUUAAUAGAGAUAAAGGGUAAAAUUGAAAAAAAGAAGUUAACACUCGUUGAUUUUCUAAAUGCGAUAUAUAAUUUUGGACAAAAGAAAAACCCAAAUGCGACAAAUAAAACUGGACGGAGGGAGUAGUUCUCAAUUUUUCUCUGGAAUUCACUGGCACUGGACUUUUUUUUUUUUUUUUAAACUUCAUCAUUAGUAAUUACACUUGACCUUCAUAGGUAAGAAUUGUGUCAGCUCAUCGAACUCCUGAGAUGAUGUUCUCCUAUGCCUCGUCUGCUCGAGAUCAAGGGGUUCAGAUCAUCAUUGCUGGGGCUGGUGGUGCAGCCCACUUGCCAGGGAUGGUGGCUUCACUUACUCCUUUACCUGUUAUUGGUGUCCCUGUACGUGGUUCCUCAUUGGAUGGAAUGGAUUCACUCUUGUCCAUUGUGCAGAUGCCAAGGGGUGUUCCAGUCGCAACUGUAGCAAUAAACAAUGCUACAAAUGCUGGUUUGUUGGCUGUAAGGAUGUUGGGAGUUGGUGAUUCCGACCUAUUAGCAAGAAUGAGCCAGUAUCAAGAAGACACCAGGGAUGAAGUAUUAAAAAAGGCUGAGAAGCUACAACGUGAUGGAUGGGAAUCUUAUUUGAAUCCUUGAGUACAAUUUCACCACUUUCUGUAUUCCUUGAUUUUUUGAACUUAAUAACAUGCAUAGAAGAAUCUGAUAUCAAAAGAGGACUAAGAGUCUACAUGUUGGGUACAACAACCUGUCCUAACCAAGUGUGAUCGGUACGGGAGCAGAUUGUAUUGGGGUGCAAUUAGAAAGUCCGUAGCAGAUUGGAAAGGACAGAAAGGGGACGUGGAUCAAGUUUGGAAUUGAUCAAGUUUUGUAGCCUUAUGAGAUCAUUAAAUUUUUCCUUGAUUGAUCAAUCAAUUAAAGUUAAUUCUUUGUAUUUUCUUCAUCUCCAAAAUGCAAAUGAAGAUGACCGAAUCUUUGAUGGUA
rnacentral:misc_RNA from 1 species